rnacentral:rRNA from 1 species
UACGAAGGGGGCGAGCGUUGUUCGGAAUUACUGGGCGUAAAGGGCGCGUAGGCGGCGACCCAAGUCAGAUGUGAAAGUCCUGGGCUUAACCUGGGGACUGCAUUUGAUACUGGGUUGCUUGAAUUCGGGAGAGGAUAGCGGAAUUCCCAGUGUAGAGGUGAAAUUCGUAGAUAUUGGGAAGAACACCGGUGGCGAAGGCGGCAUCCUGGACCGGUAUUGACGCUGAGGCGCGAAAGCUAGGGGAGCAAACGGG